UGUCUAAGUAUAAGCAAUUAUACGGCGAAACUGCGAAUGGCUCAUUAUAUAAGUUAUAGUUUAUUUGAUAGCACCUUACUACAUGGAUAACUGUGGUAAUUCUAGAGCUAAAACAUGCUAAAAAUCCCGACUUCGGAAGGGAUGUGUUUAUUAGAUUAAAAACCAAUGCCCUUCGGGGCUGCAGGGUGAUUCAUAGUAACCUCUCGAAUCGCACGGCCUUGCGCCGGCGAUGGUUCAUUCAAAUUUCUUCCCUAUCAACUUUCGAUGCGAAGGUCUUGUCUUCGCAUGGUUACAACGGGUAACGGAGGGUUAGGGCUCGACCCCGGAGAAGGAGCCUGAGAAACGGCUGCUACAUCUAAGGAAGGCAGCAGGCGCGCAAAUUACCCAAUCCCGACUCGGGGAGGUAGUGACAAUAAAUACUGAUACAGGGCUCUUUUGGGUCUUGUAAUUGGAAUGAGUACAAUUUAAAUCCCUUAACGAGGAACAAUUGGAGGGCAAGUCUGGUGCCAGCAGCCGCGGUAAUUCCAGCUCCAAUAGCGUAUAUUAAAGUUGUUGUGGUUAAAAAGCUCGUAGUUGAACCUUGGGCCUGGCUGGCCGGUCCCCCUCACCGGGUGCACUGGUCCGGCCGGGUCUUUCCCUCUGUGGAACCGCAUGUCCUUCACUGGACGUGCCGGGGAAGCAGGACUUUUACUUUGAAAAAAUUAGAGUGCUCCAGGCAGGCCUAUGCUCGAAUACAUUAGCAUGGAAUAAUGAAAUAGGACGCGUGGUUCUAUUUUGUUGGUUUCUAGGACCGCCGUAAUGAUUAAUAGGGACAGUCGGGGGCAUCAGUAUUCAAUUGUCAGAGGUGAAAUUCUUGGAUCUAUUGAAGACUAACUACUGCGAAAGCAUUUGCCAAGGAUGUUUUCAUUGAUAAGGAACGAAAGUUAGGGGAUCGAAGACGAUCAGAUACCGUCGUAGUCUUAACUAUAAACUAUGCCGACUAGGGAUCGGACGGCGUUAUUGAUUGACCCGUUCGGCACCUUUCGAGAAAUCAAAGUGCUUGGGCUCCAGGGGGAAUAUGGUCGCAAGGCUGAAAC
rnacentral:rRNA from 1 species